rnacentral:rRNA from 1 species
CAGUCGCCGCGGUAAUACGUAGGGUGCGAGCGUUAAUCGGAAUUACUGGGCGUAAAGCGUGCGCAGGCGGUUCGUUAAGACAGAUGUGAAAUCCCCGGGCUUAACCUGGGAACUGCAUUUGUGACUGGCGAGCUAGAGUAUGGCAGAGGGGGGUAGAGUUCCACGUGUAGCAGUGAAAUGCGUAGAGAUGUGGAGGAAUACCGAUGGCGAAGGCAGCCCCCUGGGCCAAUACUGACGCUCAUGCACGAAAGCGUGGGGAGCAAACAGGAUUAGAGACCCGCGUAGUCCCUGUCUCUUAUAC